rnacentral:rRNA from 1 species
UAACCUUCGGGAGGACGCUCACCACUUUGUGGUUCAUGACUGGGGUGAAGUCGUAACAAGGUAGCCCUAGGGGAACCUGGGGCUGGAUCACCUCCUUAUACGAA